AGCGUCUUAAAUCAGUAAGCGAUUUCAUCCCUGUGAGAUACCUCAGGUAAAUAUCGAUCGGUGAAGUUUAUGAAUACACAGUGUAGCUAGCUGUUUACCGUGUACUGAUAAGGGUUUAAAGACGACACGUGUUGAUGAAAGUCUGUGUUUUCACAAGUUUGCGGUUAAUUGGAGCAGGAGUGAUUGGAUUAUAAUUAGUUAAAGAUUAUAAUUAGUCUAUGCAACGAAAUGGGAUAACAGUUGGUGACGGCUGCAUGGGCUCUUUCAUCACUCUUCUCCCUUGAAGAAGACAGGGGGGUUAUUGAAUGGGCACAGGCGAAAGCCACCCUUACCACAGAUGAACACUUUGAGCACCAUGGAGUGGAUUGUUGGUAAUCUGUCCGAGUCUCACCCAAACCUGAGCAAAGUCGCUAUAGUGGGACUGCUUCUACCAACCUCCACAGCUGAUUGUGAGAGAGGUUUCAGCAGUUGAAUGUGUAAAGACCACCCACCAUUCACCAGUGAGCAUGAAAGUGCUUAAUGCCUUACUCAUGGUGUCCAUGCAGGGACAAAAAUUGAAUGACUUUAAUUUCAGUGGUGCAGUAAAGGAAUGGCACAGAGCCAAGACAGACACUUACCGGUACAUGAAAACAAAAAUGCCUAUGUGUUGUUAGUGUUAGUACAAAAGAAGUGGAAGGACAUAGGUAUUGUUCGAAAAUACAUAUAAAAGAAGUGGACAUCUGUGUAGUGUAUAUGAUAUAUUGAUUG
rnacentral:lncRNA from 1 species